rnacentral:rRNA from 1 species
CCGGCGACCGGCGCACGGGUGAGUAACACGUAUGCAACCUGCCCGUGGCAGGGGGAUAAGCGGGGGAAACCCCGUCUAAUACCGCGUAACGCGGCCUAGGGACAUCCCAAGGCCGCCAAAGGGAGCAAUCCCGGCCACGGAUGGGCAUGCGGCGCAUUAGCUAGUCGGCGGGGUAACGGCCCACCGAGGCGACGAUGCGUAGGGGUUCUGAGAGGAAGGCCCCCCACACUGGUACUGAGACACGGUCCAGACUCCUACGGAAGGCAGCAG